GCCUGGCUGGCUCAGUCAGUAAAGCAUGUGACUCUUGAUCUUGGGGUUGUGAGUUCAAGCCCCGCGUUAGGUG
rfam:Felis catus isolate Cinnamon breed Abyssinian chromosome D4, whole genome shotgun sequence.